UACGAAGGGGGCUAGCGUUGUUCGGAAUUACUGGGCGUAAAGCGCGCGCAGGCGGUUUCUCAAGUCAGUGGUGAAAGCCCGGAGCUCAACCCCGGAACUGCCUCUGAUACUGGUAGUCUAGAGUCCGGAAGAGGUGAGUGGAAUUCCGAGUGUAGAGGUGAAAUUCGUAGAUAUUCGGAGGAACACCAGUGGCGAAGGCGGCUCACUGGUCCGGUACUGACGCUGAGGUGCGAAAGCGUGGGGAGCAAACAGG
rnacentral:rRNA from 1 species